rnacentral:rRNA from 1 species
UACGUAGGGGGCAAGCGUUGUCCGGAAUCAUUGGGCGUAAAGAGCGUGUAGGCGGCCCGAUAAAUCCGCUGUGAAAGUCCAAGGCUCAACCCUGGGAUGCCGGUGGAUACUGUCGGGCUCGAGUCCGGAAGAGGAGUGUGGGAAUUCCUGGUGUAGCGGUGAAAUGCGCAGAUAUCAGGAGGAACACCAAUGGCGAAGGCAGCACUCUGGGACGUGACUGACGCUGAGACGCGAAAGCGUGGGGAGCAAACAGG